rnacentral:rRNA from 1 species
GUCGAGGGGCAGCAUGGUCUUAGCUUGCUAAGGCUGAUGGCGACCGGCGCACGGGUGAGUAACACGUAUCCAACCUGCCGUCUACUCUUGGCCAGCCUUCUGAAAGGAAGAUUAAUCCAGGAUGGGAUCAUGAGUUCACAUGUCCGCAUGAUUAAAGGUAUUUUCCGGUAGACGAUGGGGAUGCGUUCCAUUAGAUAGUAGGCGGGGUAACGGCCCACCUAGUCAACGAUGGAUAGGGGUUCUGAGAGGAAGGUCCCCCACAUUGGAACUGAGACACGGUCCAAACUCCUACGGGAGGCAGCAGUGAGGAAUAUUGGUCAAUGGGCGAUGGCCUGAACCAGCCAAGUAGCGUGAAGGAUGACUGCCCUAUGGGUUGUAAACUUCUUUUAUAAAGGAAUAAAGUCGGGUAUGCAUACCCGUUUGCAUGUACUUUAUGAAUAAGGAUCGGCUAACUCCGUGCCAGCAGCCGCGGUAAUACGGAGGAUCCGAGCGUUAUCCGGAUUUAUUGGGUUUAAAGGGAGCGUAGAUGGAUGUUUAAGUCAGUUGUGAAAGUUUGCGGCUCAACCGUAAAAUUGCAGUUGAUACUGGAUGUCUUGAGUGCAGUUGAGGCAGGCGGAAUUNCGUGGUGUAGCGGGUGAAAUGCUUAGAUAUCACGAAGAACUCCGAUUGCGAAGGCAGCCUGCUA